rnacentral:misc_RNA from 1 species
GAAAAUUCUAAUUUUGACCCUAAUUUUUAAAUUAACAGCAAACUUAUUUUGAGAAAAAGUUUCCUAAUAUAUCAGAAUUUUUUUGAAUAAUAUAUCAGAAUUUUUUUGAAUAAUAUACACAUUCUAUGCAAAAACUCAUUUUUGACAAUUCUGCCCAUAAUAUGGUUCUUUCUUACGUAAGAAAUAUUUAGUUUUCUUCUUGUUUGAGAUGAAUUUUCUUGUAAAAAUUUUGGGCAUGCGGAAUGAAGCUUAAUUUGAUCUUCUGAUUCCCCUUCGUCAUUCAUUCUCUGCAUAACAGAAUAAUGAGAAACAACGGCAAUUUGCUUCUCCAGAACUUAUCGAUUAUUGCUUCUCUCUCCCUUUCCUUAUUGCUCCACCACCUCAUCAUCUGCCUCGCUGUAUCGAAUUCACCACCUUCUGAUAUUCCCGAUCUCAAUUACGUAACUCUUGCUUGUGGCUUAGCCAGUGACACUAAAGCACUAGAUGGCCGAACCUGGACUGCAGACACCAAUUCAAAAUUCUUCUCUUCACAGCAAAAUAAUGCAUCAAGAGCAGUUGAAUCUCCUCCCAGUAAAUUCGUCACUGAUCUACCUUACACAACUGCUCGCAUAUCUCGCUACCCAUUUACCUACAUAUUUCCGGUCACCAUCGGGACUCAGCUUAUCCGUCUCCACUUCUAUCCUGCUUCCUACUUGGAUUUCAACGGCUCUAAAGCAUUCUUUUCUGUCAAAGCUGAUCAAUAUACCCUUCUUAGCAAUUUUAGUGCUGCGCUUCAGGCCGAGACUCUACACAUGGAAGCAUUCUUUAGAGAAUUCUGGUUAAAGGUGGAAGAUGACCGAAUGUUAAACUUAACCUUCAUUCCAAGUUUUGGUAUGGAUGAUGUAUAUGCUUUCAUCAACGGGAUUGAAAUGGCAUCUAUAUCUACCAAUCUUUAUUACACUGCAGCGGAUAAUCCGGGGUUGAAAUUUCUUGGCCAGAACAAGCCCGUCGGCAUGGAAAACAAGGCUGUCUUACAGCUAACAUACAGAAUAAAUGUAGGCGGGCCUUUUCUUUCUCCCCUAAGUGACCCUGUCCUGUUUCGAAGCUGUGAAAGUGAUGAUGAUUAUUUGACAGUCGCAAAACCAAGUGCUAUGCCUUAUUCCAACAGCAUUCAACUUACAUACACCAUCUUUACUCGUUUUGCUGCACCAGACCCAGUCUAUAUGACUGCAAGAUCCAUGGGGAUGGACAAGGAAGUAAACGAGAACUACAAUCUAACUUGGGAAUUUCACGUUGAUUCUUUGUCCACUUAUUUUAUUAGGCUUCACUUCUGUGAGAUUCAGUCGCCAAUAACUAAGAAGGGCGACCGAGUUUUUCAGAUAUACAUAGCAAAUCAAAUUGCUGAGUCUCAAGCAGAUAUAAUUGAUUGGAGCGGUGGAAAUGGAUUUCCUAUAUUUAAAGAUUAUGCGGUGAUCAUGGGAGGGAGUGGAAGCAAAAAGUUGGAAAAUCUAUCCAUUGCCCUGCAUCCUGUCCCAGAAUUGAGCAUUUACUCUGAUGCAAUCCUGAAUGGAAUUGAAAUUUUCAAAUUGUUAAAUUCAGAAAUUCAUACAACACCCAUCCCAAAAACAACAAAGCCAGAGAAUGAUAGGAUGACAGUAGUUGCCACUGUAGCUGGUGUUGUAUUGGCCUUUGUUAUUGUAAUCCCUCUUCUAUUCUUCUUGACUGUUCGAAGUAGAGUAAAAGACAAGGAUUCUAGAGAUAGGGCUCCAUGGUUCGCCCAAUUUGUUUCUUUGACGGAGGCCACCAAGAUCCACCGAUCAUCUCUACCCUCUAAUAAUUGGGGCAGUUUUUCUCUAGACGAGAUAAAAGCAGCCACAAAAAACUUUGACAAUCAAUGCAUUAUUGGUGUUGGAGGGUUUGGCAAUGUAUACAGAGGAACCAUUAACGAUGAUCCCACUACUGUUGCGGUGAAACGGUUGAGCCAAGGUUCGGAACAAGGAGCAAACGAGUUCAAGACAGAGAUAGAGAUGCUUUCUCAGCUUCGACACCGUCACUUGGUCUCUCUAAUCGGUUAUUGCCACGAAGAUCACGAAAUGAUCCUAGUGUAUGAUUAUAUGACCCACGGUACCCUCCGUGACCAUCUCUACAACACCAGUAAUCCUCCUCUACCAUGGAAAAAAAGGCUAGAGAUCUGCCUCGGUGCAGCACGCGGGCUGCAUUACCUUCAUUCAGGAGCGAAGCAUGCAAUCGUCCAUCGUGAUGUGAAGUCGACAAAUAUCUUAUUGGAUGAGAACUGGGUGGCCAAGGUUUCAGAUUUUGGAUUGGUGAAACUUGCUCCGAAUGGAGAGAAGUCAGUAGUGACUAGGCUUGCCGGAACAUUUGGAUACCUUGCACCUGAAUAUGCUGUAAUGGGGAAGAUUACAACUAAAUCUGAUGUGUUCAGCUACGGAGUGGUGUUGAUGGAACUUCUGACUGGGUUAAUGGCCCUUGAUGAGGAACGCUCUGAGGAAAGUCGAUACUUGGCAGAAUGGUUUUGGCGAAUCAAGUCAAGCAAAGAGAAGCUUAUGGCUUCCAUUGACCCAUCAAUUGAUCCAAAUGAAGAGACUCAUGAAAGCAUCUCCAUUGUUGCUGAACUGGCUGGACAUUGCACUGCAAGAGAACCAAGCCAUCGGCCUGAUAUGGGACAUGCGGUGAGUUUGCUGGCACCCCUCGUUGAGAAGUGGAAACCAAUUAAAGAUGAAUCAGAGGAUUUUAGUGGCAUUGACUACAGUCUACCACUUCCUCAAAUGCUAAAGUUUUGGCAGGAUGCCGAAAGCACCGGAGUGAGCUAUACUAGUUUCGGUGAUAGCAAGGGAAGUAUUCCAGCUAGACCGACUGGGUUUGCUGAGUCCUUCACAUCUUCUGAUGGUCGAUAGUGAAGGGAAUUAUAGGACUCGUAGAAGAUGCGAUAUGUUUGCAAUUUGCAGAACCGUCUCGGGCCACCUGCAUAAUGACAGCAUAUUUGUUUAUCAUGAUAUUGGAGGAUCUCAAGUUGUGAAUUACCAAUUUUUGGGCAGUGAUUGAGGUUGUCAGGGGCUGAGCUGAAAUAAAAAUAUAAUUUUUUUCUUCUAUUAGGCGUUGAAGAGUUCGUCUGGUGGACGUGUCGUCUGGCCACAGCCUCUCUACUGUAGUACGAGUGCUUUUUUGCUUUAUUUUUCAACAGGCAUGUAUUAUCAGUAAUUAUUGCAUCACAUGGUAGGACUCCUACGGCAAAAGAUGUUUAGGUGGAGCAUUUGUCUUUAUGCUUGUAUUCAAAUUUUAGAUCAAAAAAGAAAUGGUGAGAUUACAUUUUUUUAAGCGGGAGUGGAAUAACUUCUUA